GCGUCAGCAGCCGCGGUAAUACGUAGGGUGCAAGCGUUAAUCGGAAUUACUGGGCGUAAAGCGUGCGCAGGCGGUUUGGUAAGACAGAUGUGAAAUCCCCGGGCUUAACCUGGGAAUUGCAUUUGUGACUGCCCGGCUAGAGUGUGUCAGAGGGGGGUAGAAUUCCACGUGUAGCAGUGAAAUGCGUAGAUAUGUGGAGGAAUACCGAUGGCGAAGGCAGCCCCCUGGUAUAACACUGACGCUCAUGCACGAAAGCGUGGGGAGCAAACAGGAUUAGAUACCCUUGUAGUCC
rnacentral:rRNA from 1 species